rnacentral:rRNA from 1 species
AUUGAACGCUGGCGGCAUGCUUUACACAUGCAAGUCGAACGGCAGCAUAGAGAGCUUGCUCUCUGAUGGCGAGUGGCGAACGGGUGAGUAAUACAUCGGAACGUGUCCGUUUGUGGGGGACAACCACCCGAAACGGUGGCUAAUACCGCAUAAGACCUGAGGGUGAAAGCCGGGGACCGCAAGGCCUGGCGCGAACGGAGCGGCCGAUGACUGAUUAGCUGGUUGGCGGGGUAAGGGCCCACCAAGGCGACGAUCAGUAGCUGGUCUGAGAGGACGACCAGCCACACUGGAACUGAGACACGGUCCAGACUCCUACGGGAGGCAGCAGUGGGGAAUUUUGGACAAUGGGGGCAACCCUGAUCCAGCCAUGCCGCGUGCGGGAAGAAGGCCUUCGGGUUGUAAACCGCUUUUGUCAGGGACGAAAAGGUGCGGG